AGAGCGGCAAAUUACCGCGCCGCCGCCGGGCCUCUGGGGAACGUUGGUCCGGGUCCACAACACCUGUGCAGAUCCCGACCGGAUACGGAGAAUCGAGCCGCCUUCCUCUCCACGUGCAGACGAGUUGUCUGCACAAUCUGAGAGUGUGUUGUGGCUCUGUCCCGCAUUGCCGAGUCUGCCCACACAGCACUGGCGAACGGAAACUCGGACACUCGCUUCUCCCGAGGUGUGGCCAGCUGUAGUCUCUGCCCAGCUAUAGUACAAGCAUCUCUUACGAUUGGGACCUCACGGACCUUCGGACCUUAAAGGACCAGACGAUUAAUACACAGCAGGUCAGCAUGGCCUUGGCACCUGGAAAGCAUCUCUUAUCAUCACAUCGAAGGUGUCCCAGGAAGAGGGGCAUUUAAUCUUUAUUUUUAACAUGGGCAUUUUUUACUUCUGGUCAGUGUACCCUGUCCUUUAAAUAAUUAAAGCAUAUGUACAACGUG